rnacentral:rRNA from 1 species
UACGUAGGGGGCAAGCGUUGUCCGGAAUUAUUGGGCGUAAAGAGCGUGUAGGCGGUCCGGUAAGUCAGCUGUGAAAGUCGGGGGCUCAACCCUCGAAUGCCGGUGGAUACUGUCGGGCUAGAGUGCGGAAGAGGCGAGUGGAAUUCCUGGUGUAGCGGUGAAAUGCGUAGAUAUCAGGAGGAACACCGAUGGCGAAGGCAGGUCUCUGGGCUGACACUGACGCUCAUGCACGAAAGCGUGGGGAGCAAACAGG